rnacentral:rRNA from 1 species
UACGUAGGGUGCGAGCGUUGUCCGGAAUUACUGGGCGUAAAGAGCGUGUAGGCGGUCCGGUAAGUCCGCUGUGAAAGUCGGGGGCUCAACCCUCGAAUGCCGGUGGAUACUGUCGGGCUAGAGUGCGGAAGAGGCGAGUGGAAUUCCUGGUGUAGCGGUGAAAUGCGCAGAUAUCAGGAGGAACACCUAUUGCGAAGGCAGGUCUCUGGGCUGACACUGACGCUCAUGCACGAAAGCGUGGGGAGCAAACAGG